AUGCCAAUGGCACUGUCCGGUAGCUAAAUGCGGAAGAGAUAAGUGCUGACAGCAUCUAAGCACGAAACUUGCCCCGAGAUGAGUUCUCCCUGAGACUUCAAGUCUCCUGAAGGAACGAAGAAGACGACGACGUUGAUAGGCCGGGUGUGUAAGCGCAGCGAUGCGUUGAGCUAACCGGUACUAAUGAACCGUGAGGCUUAACCUUACAACGCCGAAG
rnacentral:rRNA from 1 species